UUUUUUUUUUUGUCUUUUUGCCAUUUCUAGGGCCGCUCCCGAGGCAUAUGGAGGUUCCCAGGCUAGGGGUGUGGCCCUAAAAACACCCCAAACAAACAAACAAACAACAAAACUGCCUGGAUGGGAUAGUGAAGAAUAAAAUGACUUUUGGUUCUAUAGUCCUGAUUUAUGCUAAGGUGUCAGCAGUCUUAUCCACCAUUCGUUUUGAACCAUCCACUGAUGCUGCUGGUCCAGGGACCACCAAAUAUGAAGCAAGCUCUUAUCCUGCCUUCAGGGAUCCGAGGGAGGGCAAGUGGGAAAAUCGCUGGUGCUCCCAUUCCUGAUUAAACAAAAAUAGUUGACUCUACUCUGAAUUUACCUAUAACACUGAGUAGCAUUUCCCAAAAGGAUUCUGGUGGAAAAUAAAAAGUUUAUGACUCACUUCUAUAAAGCAAGUCUUGGGUGCACUAUGCAAAAAAAAUCCAUUUCAUUCGUCCCAUGCAUGUUGAGCCAUCUGUUGUUUUGAGCCCCAGCUUUGUGUCAGGCAAGGUGUUGUAUGCCGGGGGUACAGGAAUUGACUGGAAAGACAUGAUCCCUGCCCUCGUGGUGUUUACAGUCUAGUAGGAGAGAUAGACAACCACAUGGAAAUAGGUAUUGUGACAGAAGCUGGGAGGGAAACAAAUAGGAUGGUCUAACACAGAAUAAAGGGACCAAGGGAAGAGCACACAUUUGGUUCUCAAACUUCAGUGAGUAUAGCAUCACCUGGAGAGUUAAUAAAGAAUACAGAGGACCCGGCUUAUUGGAGUAGGGAGGUCCUGGCCCUUUGCAGUUUUGCCAUGUGAUUUUCCAAAAUUUGAGUAGUGCUGCUGUAGGUAAAUCGCCCAGAGAAAGCCUCUCGGAGAAGGCAACUUGACAACUGAAUCCUGAGUGAUGGGAAUAACUGGGGGACCCAGGCUUUUCAUUGGAUUUGGAACAGAUUUGUGUGAGGUGAUGCCAGUUCUUCUAUGGCUACAGGUUGAGCUGUAGGGCUGGUAAGUUCAUUUAUUGCUUCAUUGAAUCCAUUCCAUUUGUUAUUACAAAAACAUUUUAUCACUUAAAUAGCUACAAGUUCCUAUAACAAACAUGUUUUAUGAGCAAAAGUGCUUACACUAUUGUGGCUCAGCAGAAACAAAUCUGACUAGUAUCUAUGAGGAUGCAGUUUCGAUCCCUGGCCUCGCCCAGGGGGUUAAGGAUCAGGCUUUGCCGUGAGCUGUGUGUAGGUCGCAGACCCGGCUUGGGUCUGGCAUUGUUGUGGGUGUGGCAUAGGCGGGCGGCUACAGCUCCGAUUCAGCCCCUAGCCCGGGAACCUCCAUAUGCUGUGGGUACAGCCCUACGAAGACACACACACAAAAAAGGGCUCACACUAGGUAUUUUGUAUUUACCCGUCUUAGCACAGAAUAACUCUCUGAAGAUCUCACCUCAUUAACAAGGAACAGAACACAUAUCUUUAUCUUUUAAAACUUACGUUCCUUCUGGCUAUUUUCCCCCACAAUGCCUUUUUAUGUGGUCACUAGAAUUUAAAUGUCCUCCGAGUUCUCUUCGUUAUCUUCCUGAGACUUGUACAACAAUCAUAAUAUUUUUUUUUUCUUGUCUUUUUAGGGCCGCACCUGCGGCAUAUGGAGGUCCCAGGCUAGGGGUCACAUCAGAGCUGCAGCUGCCAGCCUGCACUACAGCCACAGCCAUGCCAGAUCCAAGCCACAUCUGCAACCUACUCUGCAGCUCAGGGCAACGCUGGAUCCUUAACCCACUGAGUGAGGCCGGAGAUCGAACCCAUGUCCUCAUGGAUACUAGUCGGGUUCAUUACCACUGAGACAACAGGAACUCCCCUAAUAACAUUUUUAAUUAAUUCUCAAAGUAGUUAUGCUAAUAGGAUAAGCUCCCUUUAAGACGUUUCAUUAAAUAUAAUUGUAAAAAUUACAUUUCUUUAACUAAGGUCAGUAAGAGAAAUUAAGGUACUUAGUUUCUGAUCCCCAUGUAACUAAGUGAAGAAUGGAGAAGAAUAUUCCAUCUAGAAACAACAGUGUACAGGUUGGUCCUGAGGUGAAAAAGGGCUUGGCUUCUUCAAGGAACUGGAAGAAGGUGAGGAUAGCUAGACUGUAGUAGGCAAGGGAGAGAGGCGUGCCAGACAAGUCUGGAAAGUUCAACUCAUGUAGGCCUCAUGUAGGCCUUUGAGGCCAAAGCAAGAAUUCUGGUUUUUAUUCCAAGUGCAAUGGGAAGCCAUUCAUAGGACAUACCCAUUAAGAGUGUUCUGUGAGGACAGCUGUGAGUUGACUAAAGUAUGAAAUAGUGUCAUUGUACGUGAAUACGCUGUUAUCUGGUUUAUCCAUCAAUCUCUUAGAUGUUUGGUUGGUAUGAGUUAGUCCUCUGAGUCUAUGCAACUCUCGACAAACCAGUAAAGUGGCAUUUCCACACCUUUAAAGCUGGGAGCCAAACAGCUGACUGAAUUUAAGCCAUUUAAGAAUCUAUAAAUCUACAAUUUGUUUAUAAAAGGAAGACCCUGGAAGACAAAUGUUAACAAAGCUGGCUCCAGAAUCCUAAACUCCACUUUAUUGGAGCAUGUUUCAAUUCAUCUUUUAAUUUCUCUUUUGGCAAUUCUUGCCCUCCUUUGUUUCUCUGUAUUCACUGUCCUAGCAGUUGUCCAGCAUUUUACAUCUCCUCAUUCUCCCUGUGUUCCUUCUGGAGCAACUGGAACUUGAGAUUAUACCUUAAGUGCACUAUAGCCUAAGGGAUAAGAAUAUGGGCUAUUUGAAUGCACCCUUUCCUCUUAUUAGUUGGAUGAGCUUGACUGUGUCCUAUAACAUAUAUAAGCCCCAGUAUCCUCAUCUGUAAAGAAAGGAUAAUAAUAGUGUCUACGUACGGAAAUGAAUGUGCAAGUCCAGGGGAAAAAAUGCAUGGCCUGCUACAUAGUACCUGCCCAAAAAUGUUACUAGCAUAUCAUUAAUUUCCUCAUCAAAAUUUCCAUUUAUAUUGUCAUCUCACAUUUUGAGCUCUUUCAUUUCAAGGAGUGUAGAAUUUCUUUUCAAAUCAACCAUGGUGCCUUUUAUCCUGUUGUUACUCUGUAAAUAACUUGCUGUCUGCCUAAUACAGCUGUUAAAUGCCACAGGAGCUCAGAGCAGGAAGAAAAUGCCUGAGAAGGGAACCCUUCAGGUCAGUGGAUGGGUGUGACUCCAUCACUGAAGGCCUGGCAACAUUUGCUUAGGCAAAGAAGGAGGAGAAGGGCAUUCAGGUUGGCAGGUCUGUGAGCAAAUGUGCGAGUUGGAAAAAUCUUAGUUGAUGGUCAGUAAAUAGUCUAUAUUGUUUGAAAUGGAGGAUUUAUGUGUGGAAAUAUUUGGAAAAGUAUGUUGGUGCAAAACCGAGGAGUGCUUUCAUCAAAAAGCUACAAAGGAGUUUCCUGGUGGCCUAGUGGUUUUAAGGAUCCUGUGUUGUGACUGCUGUGGCGUGGGUUCGAUCUCUGGCCUGAGAACUUCCACAUGCUGUGGGUGCAGCUAAAAAAGAGUGAAAAGGCUACUAAGUUUGGAAUUUUUCCUUCGGGCUCUGGGGAGACAUUGAAUAGUGUGGCAUAAGACAGGGGCAUAACAAAAACACUGUUUCAUUAGGAUUGAUAUAGUGAUACCGUGUAGAUUUAUUUGGGAAACCAGUCUUGUGGCUAUUUCAUUCCUUGAAUAAGAGUAGCAGCUGUGGAAAUGGAAGCCUGGUCCAAGAUAAAACUAAUGGGACUUGGCAACUGAAUCGAAAAGUCAAAGAAAAUGAAUAAACACUUUGAACUUGAAAUUAUCAUGAAACAUACAAAAGCAAGUCAUUUCACCUCUUUGCCUUAAUAGUUCUAUCUUUAAAACGGUGUUAAUAAAAUACCAAAUCUCUUAGCUUCACUGAGAUGAGAAGAACUUAAGCAAGAUACUUAGUGUGAAACAUAAAUACGAUAAUAGAUGCAAGGACUCCUGGCCCUUUACCUGACACAAGGAAAUAAUUAAUACACAUUUGUUCAUUUUUAAUUAUUUUGAAUUAAAAAAUCUGGAAAUAGAGCCCCAUAGACAAGUCAAGGCAGUUUUAUAGGGUGAGAAUAGUUAAAGGAAAGGAUUAAAGAAGAUGAUGGAUCUAUAUUUCUUGUCUUCAAAUCUUGAUUUAUAGAUUAAUAGGUCAACAGACAUAUUUCCUGGUCAUAGAUCUGAGAGGUGAAUAAAGUAGGGAAGCUACUUAAUUAUAACUAGUGGUUUCCUUGCCUUUCCUCUUUCCUCAGUAAAAGCUCAAUAGUUGUUGCCUUAUUGAUGUAAACAUCUGUUUUUCUGACCAAAGUCCAAGUUGUUUGAUAAUUAAAUUAUUAAUCCUUUAAAUGCCACUGAGAAGAAGUUCUAUACAUUUAUGUAAGAAUGGACAGUUAUUCUCAGGAAUAAAAUGCAUGAUCCAUUCCUUUCUCUGGAGCUCCCACUUCUCUGGUUCCUAAAGUGCCCAUUUCCCUCCUUGUACCACUUCAAUAUGGGCCAUAGACUAGACUUUAAGUUUCCAAGAAUCAUUUCCAGUGGAUUUUCUAAGGGACUUUAUAAUUAUAAAACUUUUCUUUUGUUAUUUCUAUAGGUGUGCUUCCAAAGAACCAAGAAUGCUGUAAUCAACAGUCAAUAAAAAAAAAAUGGAGUUCCCGUUGUGGCUCAGUGGUUAACGAAUCCAACUAGGAACCAUGAGGUUGUGGGUUCGAUCCCUGGCCUAGCUCAGUGGGUUAAGGAUCUGGCAUUGCGGUAAGCUGUGGUGUAGGUCACAAAUGUGGCUCAGAUCCAGAGUUGCUGUUGCUGUGGUGUAGGGCGACAGCUACAGCUCGGAUUAGACCCCUAGCCUGGGAACCUCCAUAUGCCUCAGGAGCGGCCCUAGAAAAGGCGAAAAGACAAAAAAACAAAACAAAACAAAACAAAACCAACCAACCAAACAAACAAAACCCAAAAAACAUAUCACAACCUUGUGUAUCCAGCAGGGUAAAACCACCCCAAAUGCUCUAAGAGGUUCUGAGAGCAUUGACAUGCCUUUAUCUUGAGUGAUACUGCUUCAGUUAGUCUUACUUAAAAGUGGAGAAUCCCCACUAGAAUGGCCCGAAUUUAAAGGAACUACAAUACCUACUGUCUGCGAGGCCAGGACAGUGGAAACAACUAAAACUCUGACACCUGGCUGAUGAGAGUGAAAAUUGGUAGUCCAACCACAUUAUAAAACCAUUUGGCAAUAUUUGGCAAAACUGAACAUAUGUAUUUCACAUGCCCCAUCAAUUUCACUCCUGGAUAUACAAUCAAGAGAAAUGAGUGCUUAUGUCCAUCAAAAGACUUCUUCAAGAAUCUAUAGCAGCUUUUUUCAUAAUAGCCCCAAAAUGGCAACAUCUCUUAUGUCCAUCAGCAAUACAGUGGGCCAGUAAAUGACAGGAUAACCAACCGUACCAUGGAAUACUACACAACAGUGAAAAUCAAUGAAGUACAGUCACCCAUAAAUAAAAAUGGCUGAAUCUAGACACAAUGCAGAAUAGAAUAAACUAGACACAAAGGAGCCCAGGCAAAAUUAAUCUAUGGUUGUAAAGGUCAGAAUAGUGGUUACUUUUAUGUGGGUGGUACUGACUGGGAAGAAGCAUAAGGGAGCCUUCUGGGAGCCCUGUAAAUGUUUUAUAUUUUGACUUGAUUGGUGGUUACAUGAAUGUAUGUAAAAAUUUAUUGAGCUGUUUAUUAAAAGUUUGUGUAAUUUGAACUAUGUAAACUUCAUCUCAAUUAAAAUUAGAAAUAAAUAGAAGUAUUUAUAUUUUUAAAUAUGAAAAAUGGUAAGGGAGGAGUUCCCAUUGUAGCUUAGCUGGUUAAGGACCCAACAUUGUCUCCGUGAGGAUGUGGGUUCAAUCCCCGGCCUCACUCAGUGGGUUAAGGAUCUGAUGUGGGUCGCAGAUUCAGCUCAGAUCUGGUGUCACUGUUGCAUAGGCCUGCAGCUGCAGCUCUGACUCAACCUCUGGCUCAGGAAUUUAUAUAUGCCACAGGUGUGGCCAUUAAAAAGGAAAAAAAAGGGAACCCAAUGCACGAGGGAUUAAACGAGUUGCCUAAGAUCAUCCUUUACCUGGAUUUAGAAAUGUAUUCUACUACAUUGCUUCAGCUGCACUGCUUACCAAAGAGGAUUUACAUAUUUAAAACAUUUUAUCUGAUUAAAGAAAUUGGGCAUCUUCUUUAUUAGAACAAAGCUACGAACUUUCUGAAAUUAGAUUCACCAAACUUCUGCUCUGCUAAACUCUGAGACAAGAGAGGGUUUCAAGACUGAAAGAUCUUUGUUGCUUCCCAGUCUUACCAGUGAAACUCUUUCCAAAUGGGACCAUUUUGGCUGGGGUCCUUUUUGGAUGCCCAUUCAAGAUAUUCAGAUUAUCUAUAAUGUAUAAAGUACUGUACAUGAUAUUAAGAGGCUAUAGACCCCCUUUUAAUGAAGAGGCU
rnacentral:lncRNA from 1 species